UGUGCAAAUCUAUGCGAAACUGA
rnacentral:piRNA from 1 species